rnacentral:rRNA from 1 species
UACGUAGGGACCAAGCGUUGUUCGGAUUUACUGGGCGUAAAGGGCGCGUAGGCGGCGCGGUAAGUCACUUGUGAAAUCUCUGAGCUUAACUCAGAACGGCCAAGUGAUACUGCAGUGCUAGAGUGUGGAAGGGGCAAUCGGAAUUCUUGGUGUAGCGGUGAAAUGCGUAGAUAUCAAGAGGAACACCGAUGGCGAAGGCAGGUCUCUGGGCCAUAACUGACGCUGAGAAGCGAAAGCAUGGGGAGCGAACAGG